rnacentral:rRNA from 1 species
AUUGAACGCUGGCGGCAGGCCUAACACAUGCAAGUCGAACGAGUGGCGGACGGGUGAGUAAUGUCUGGGAAACUGCCCGAUGGAGGGGGAUAACUCCAGGAACCGGUAGCUAAUACCGCAUACCAUCGGAUGUGCCCAGAUGGGAUUAGCUUGUAGGUGAGGGAACGGCUCACCUAGGCGACGAUCCCUCGCUGGUCUGAGGGGAUGACCAGCCACACUGGAACUGAGACACGGUCCAGACUCCUACGGUAGUCAGCAGUGGGGAAUAUUGCAUAAUGGGCGCAAGCCUGAUUCAGCCAUGCCGCGUGUAUGAAGAAGGCCUUCGGGUUGUAAAGUACUUUCAGCGUGGAGGCGUUACCCGCAGAAGAAGCACCGGCUAACUCCGUGCCAGCAGCCGCGGUAAUUC